rnacentral:tRNA from 1 species
GCCUGGGUGGCUUAGUUGGUUAAGCGUCUGACUUCGGCUCAAGUCAUGAUCUCACAGCUGGUGGGUUUGAGCCCCGCUUCAGGCU